AUUCCGGUUGAUCCUGCCGGAGGCCAUUGCUAUCGGUGUCCGAUUUAGCCAUGCGAGUCGCGCGGGUUCAGACCCGCGGCGAACUGCUCAGUAACACGUGGCCAAACUACCCUCCGGAGACGGAUAACCUCGGGAAACUGAGGCUAACCCGUCGUAUCGCUUCCGAGCUGGAGUGCUGGAAGCGAGAAACGCUCCGGCGCCGGAGGAUGUGGCUGCGGCCGAUUAGGUAGACGGUGGGGUAACGGCCCACCGUGCCGAUAAUCGGUACGGGUUGUGAGAGCAAGAGCCCGGAGACGGACUCUGAGACAAGAGUCCGGGCCCUACGGGGCGCAGCAGGCGCGAAACCUUUACACUGCACGCCAGUGCGAUAGGGGGACACCGAGUGCGAGGGCAUAGAGCCCUCGCUUUUCU
rnacentral:rRNA from 1 species